rfam:Drosophila busckii chromosome 2R sequence.
UUUUACCUGAUGAGCUUUAACUUUCGCCCCUAUCUGAAAAUUAAGUGAAACUUCUCAUGUUGAAUGCGAGAUUGGUCUUACUGAAAUACAAAA